AUUGCAGCUGUCUGAAUGAGUCACCCUGGAAAGCCAGAAAAAAGCAGAGUCUCCCAGGAAGUGACUGAUCUGAACCUCCUUGGGUCUGGCUAACUGCACCUCCGCUGAGUUUGCUGCUAAAGGGAGGAGUGAACUGGACAAAACCCACCAGUUUCAUCCACCACUUCCACACUGUAACUGGGGCAUCCUCCAAAAUGUCUCUGGCCCCAGCACCUUCCCUGCAGAAGGACAGGAAAACCAACAGCCACCUUCCUUUGGAGCUCUGCCUUUGCUCCACUGAUGCCUCAGAUUGAAAGGAAUGAAAAGGAGGUGUCUUCACAAACAAAGUGUGGGCCUGCUGGUAGAAGAAGUCAGAUGCUGAUAGGUGAAAGAAGCAAUGGGGAGGAACCAGAAAUUCCAUAGGAAUUCUACAAAUUGACAAAGACUGUUACCCACUCAAGACUGUGUUAUAUCCCUCGACUUAGAGAAUUAAAAAGAAGAGAGGCACAAGGAAAAUAAAAAGGGGGGUAUACAUUAGAAGGGGGUCUGUAUUAGGUGUUGGUAAGUUUGUACCUCUCAAGUACCUCAGACAAUGGCAAAGAGAGAGGGAAAUGUGGCCAGGAAAAAAGGAUAAAAAGGAGGCUGUGCCUUCUAACAACUUGACAGACCCCAUGGGAAAUGCCCCAUGGCCUCUCCCUUUAUUCAAAUAAAGCUACAGGACUCCUCUGUCUUCUUUUUGGACAUAAA